AUAACAGGUCAUUUUACAGUUCAUUUUGUUGUCAUCUUCCCACUCAACAUUUAAAUCGGUGGAUUUCUAAGAAAAAUUAAGAGACAAGAAUUUGGAUUUAAACAACUAUUAAAGGCUUGAAGUGCUGGGUGUAAAAGAGGGGUGAAAGAUACAAGUCAAAUUCAUAGAUAGAAAAUAAGCUGACUGCGCCAUGGCUAAAAAAGUAAAAGACAAACAGACAAAUAAUAGAACACAAUACACAACAUAGAAAACUAAAGACUAAGCAACACAAACCCCACCAAAAACUGCGGGUGAUCUCAGAUGCUCCUGAAGUGUAAGCAGAUCCUACUUCACAUGUGGCACCCGUUGUGUAGCUCAUGUUAUUACAAACCUGGUAAAUAGUCUAGUUUGGUGUAAAUUGCAUGAUUGAAACAAUAUUUGUACAUAGUGUAGAAAUGCUUUUUUA
rnacentral:lncRNA from 1 species